AACGAACGCUGGCGGCAGGCCUAACACAUGCCAGUCGAGCGCGCCCUUCGGGGUGAGCGGCGGACGGGUGAGUAACGCGUGGGAACGUGCCCUUUUCUACGGAAUAGCCUCGGGAAACUGAGAGUAAUACCGUAUACGCCCUUUGGGGGAAAGAUUUAUCGGAAAAGGAUCGGCCCGCGUUGGAUUAGGUAGUUGGUGGGGUAAUGGCCUACCAAGCCGACGAUCCAUAGCUGGUUUGAGGGGAUGAUCAGCCACACUGGGACUGAGACACGGCCCAGACUCCUACGGGAGGCAGCAGUGGGGAAUCUUAGACAAUGGGGGCAACCCUGAUCUAGCCAUGCCGCGUGAGUGAUGAAGGCCUUAGGGUUGUAAAGCUCUUUCAGCUGGGAAGAUAAUGACGGUACCAGCAGAAGAAGCCCCGGCUAACUCCGUG
rnacentral:rRNA from 1 species